GAGAGCAGUAGCAGUUUCAGCUUCUCUGAACUGACCAUAGCAGAGUUUCUUGUGGUUUUCUUGGAAAUAACCACUUCUGGGAUUUGUUGUUGUUCUUUGCAUCGCUAAAGUAGGAGCAGUUCCCCAGGAGAGGUUUUGGGGGAGGGCAUCAUGUGCCCCUUCUGCAGCUCAUCACUUGUAAGGUGAAAGGGACAUUUUGCCUCACAGUCUUCUGAUGGAUAAUAUUAAUCCUUGAAGAGCCAAAGGAAUUUGACUUUACGUAGACACCCUCAGGAAUUGUGAAUUGCUUUUCGGCUCCAGAGGCUGCUCUUCGGGUAGACGUCGGGGUGUCAGAGUGUGAUCUGGUGGCCCUGAUCCUCACACAGCAGGGACCGGAGAUGCUGCUCCUUCCGACUGUGCAAGACCUCAAACAGUUACUUUAGCUGUCGGAUUGGAUUUCUAAAACUAGCUGCAAACUUUGUCCCCCUGUAGCUGGGAAUUGAACUGGGAUGCUUCUUGCUUGUAAAAAACAGAACCACAAAGGCAAAUCAGUCUUGAUGCAUGUCUAGGUUUAUUUGAUCACGUCUUGCAUAGCUCAAUAAUAUCUAUUUUAAAUCAUUUAUGGAAGAUUACAUGUGCCAAUUUCUAAGCAUGUUUUGCAAUUCUAAUACACGCAAUAUAGCAUCUAAAUAAAGUAAGUUUGACUUUCCCUAUGAAACCUAAAAGAAACUAGCCUAACAUAGCAAAUAUCCCAUUCUUACCAAGAUUGCUCUUUUAGCAAGUACAGCAAAACACCUAUUUAUUCCGUAUAUAAAGACUUAUCUUUUUGGAUGUGAAAAGCACCCCUAACUUGCUCUGGUCCUUGAGAACUCAUGUCUACUUUACGUUCCCAAUCUUGCAAGUGCUGAGCCCCAUAUGCUGCCCCUGAAAUCAAUGAGAGUUGGAAGGUGCUCUGCACCACACGUAAUCAGGCCCUGAGAAAGAUCGGGCAUAAUCUCUAGAAAUCUGGAGAGAUUGUCCUUUCAGAUAAAGUUGCCUUUAAAAUGCUGAUAAACAUUACUUUGAAGCAGCAGCAUAGACAUGAGCUGGAUACAAAUCUAUGGAAAAUUGGCUGUGUUUUGAUCACAAUCUCUGAGAAGAAAUACUUAUCACUGAGUUAUUCAAAGAGAGGAAAUAGUGACAACAAACAAAAAUGCUGCAGCUCAGACAGCCCUGCAGCUUCAUAAGAAACAACGGCAUGUUUACUUUAGAGAGUCCCGUUCAUUUUAACAAACACAUCAAUACUUUGGCCCGGUCUAUUUUUAUUUUAUUUUUGUGCGGCUGUAGCUCUCUCAAUGUAGUUGCAAAGGGGGUAAAUCCCCAGUAGAUUCACUGCAAUGUAAAACAGGAUUUACACUAGUAAUUUACUGGUGCACAUCCCAUUUUCCACCACAACAAUAUGGCUAGAUGAGGGAUUUGUUGCAGUGUAAUCACAUCCAGGGCAGAUUUCUCUCUCCUAGACAAGCCCCCAGUCUUCUUGAACCUCUUUGUAUAGACAGGUGCUGAUUGGUCCUUGUGUAUUAUCAUUUUCAUUGCAAUUAGUAUUUUACUGUUUUCUACAGGCUGAGCAACUAUAAAUAGAUCUUCAUUGCUCAUGGCUUAUGGAAAGUCUUAUCACUGACUGCGUAUUCUGUUUAUACAACCACACUUACUAACACAUGCGUGUGGUUUGCUAUGCAAUAUUAACCAUGACGCAACAACAUUCUUCUGGCCUAGAACGGGGAUUUUAACUGAGCAAGAAUGGACCAUACUAUUAACUAUACAGUAAGGGCCUGAUCUGGCAUGCUACUGAGUACUUUCAAUGAUCCCUGCAGUCAAUAGAAGUGGAGGGUGCUCAGCACCUUGCAGGAAUGUGGAAUCCUAGUAGGAAUUUACAAGCUCUAUAUAAAUCAGCUUACCAAGUAUUUUCUUUCCCCCAACUAAAUCAAUGACUUUUAUUAGCAGAGCAGUCACCUUCCCCCCAAAUAACCCAUGGUCAACAAUUAACUCAUUCAAGCUGAAAAGUAGCCCAGAAGGGUCAGACACUUACCCGCCAGGCUGCAAUGCAAGCAAGUUUGCCCAUCAGACAUUUUGCAUUGUGCUAACACAUCCUUUGCAGCAAAGCAGAAACAUUUCUAUUAUCGGAGAGUGCCCACUGCACUUCCACUGAGCUCCAUGCUUAUUAGCAACACUUCCCUCAUGCCAAUUAAAUCCUAAACAUUGAGUCCAUUUCAAGUGUAAGUCAGUCUCCAGUUCAAUAACGCCAGUAAAAAAGUCUGUCUGCUUUUACUCGACAGCACUCUCAGAGGCCUCAAGAAAUGCACAUUAGAUUAAAUACAGAGCUGAACAAGAUCUUAAUUCAAUAAGAAAUACAGCAGCAACACUGUUUUCCUGUCUCUGGAUGACUGACCUCACAAAGGGUGAGAUAAUUUUUUGUAGGCUCUUGCAACAAGCCAUUUCAAAGUCUAG